rnacentral:rRNA from 1 species
CCUACGGGUGACAGCAGUGAGGAAUAUUGGUCAAUGGACGAGAGUCUGAACCAGCCAAGUAGCGUGAAGGAUGACUGCCCUAUGGGUUGUAAACUUCUUUUAUAUGGGAAUAAAAUGUUCCACGUGUGGGAUUUUGUAUGUACCAUAUGCAUAAGGAUCGGCUAACUCCGUGCCAGCAGCCGCGGUAAUACGGAGGAUCCGAGCGUUAUCCGGAUUUAUUGGGUUUAAAGGGAGCGUAGGUGGAUUGUUAAGUCAGUUGUGAAAGUUUGCGGCUCAACCGUAGAAUUGCAGUUGAAACUGGCAGUCUUGAGUACAGUAGAGGUGGGCGGAAUUCGUGGUGUAGCGGUGAAAUGCUUAGAUAUUACGAAGAACACCGAUUGCGAAGGCAGCUCACUGGACUGCAACUGACACUGAGGCUCGAAAGUGUGGGUAGCAAACAGGAUUAGAUACCCUAGUAGUC